rnacentral:rRNA from 1 species
GACGAACGCUGGCGGCGUGCUUAACACAUGCAAGUCGAACGAAGUGGCGUACGGGUGAGUAACGCGUAAUCAACCUGCCCUUCGGUGGGGGACAACAGGUGGAAACGACUGCUAAUACCCCCUACUGAAGGUGGGGAUUGCGUCUGAUUAGCUGGUGGGGUGGGGAACGGGCCACCAAGGCGAUAACCAGUAGCCGGGCUGAGAGGGUUAACGGGCACAUUGGGACUGGGGAACGGGCCCAACUCCUAAGGGAGGCAGGAGGGGGGGAUCUUCGGAAAUGGAGGGAAGUCUGACUGAGCAAAGCCGCGUGAGUGAUGACGGCCUUCGGGUUGGAAAGCUCUGUUAAUCGGGACGCGGUACCGGAAUAAAAAGCAACGGCUAACUACGUGCCAGCAGCCGCGGUAAUUC